UAAUAAAAGUGAUUAUAUGUGAAUCUGUUUCAGUCCGGAGCCAUCAUGACCGUCCUCGCUGCCGUUUGCACCAAAAUGCCUGAAGCUCAACUCGCCAUCAUCUUCCUCCCCAUGUUCACCUUCAGCGCCGCCAACGCGCUGAAGGCAAUCGUUGCCAUGGACACGGCCGGCGUUGUUCUGGGAUGGCGGUACUUCGACCACGCGGCGCAUUUAGGAGGAGCGUUGUUCGGGAUCUGGUACAUCAUGUUUGGUCACGAGUUGAUCUGGAAGA